CAAAGGUUUGGUCCUGGCCUUAUAAUUAAUUGGAGGUAAGAUUACACAUGCAAACAUCCAUAAACCAGUGUAAAAUCCCUUAAACAUUUACUCUAAAAUUUAAGGAGAGGGUAUCAAGCACAUAAAAUAGCUCAAAACACCUUGCCUAGCCACACCCCCACGGGAUUCAGCAGUGAUAAAUAUUAAGCAAUAAACGAAAGUUUGACUAAGCUAUACCUCUUAGGGUUGGUAAAUUUCGUGCCAGCCACCGCGGUCAUACGAUUAACCCAAACUAAUUAUUUCCGGCGUAAAACGUGUCAAUUAUAACUCAAACAAUAGAAUUAAAACCCAACUUAUAUGUGAAAAUCCAUUGUUAGGGCCUAAACCCAAUAACGAAAGUAAUCCUAAUAACUCAUAUAAUACACGAUAGCUAAGAUCCAAACUGGGAUUAGAUACCCCACUAUGCUUAGUCAUAAACCCAAAUAAUUAAACCUACAAAAAUAUUUGCCAGAGAACUACUAGCCACAGCUUAAAACUCAAAGGACUUGGCGGUACUUUACAUCCAUCUAGAGGAGCCUGUUCUAUGAUCGAUAAACCCCGCUCUACCUCACCACCUCUUGCUAAUUCAGCCUAUAUACCGCCAUCUUCAGCAAACCCUAAAAAGGCAUAAAAGUAAGCACAAGAACAAACAUAAAAACGUUAGGUCAAGGUGUAGCCAAUGAGGAGGGAAGAAAUGGGCUACAUUUUCUUUCUAAAGAACAUUACGAAACCCCUUAUGAAAUUAAAGGAUAAAGGAGGAUUUAGUAGUAAAUUAAGAAUAGAGAGCUUAAUUGAAUAGUGCAAUGAAGUACGCACACACCGCCCGUCACCCUCCUCAAAUUAAAUUAAUGAAAUAAUAAAUAAUACUAACAAUAAAUUUAUAAGAGGAGAUAAGUCGUAACAAGGUAAGCAUACUGGAAAGUGUGCUUGGAAUAAU
rnacentral:ncRNA from 1 species